ensembl:snRNA U6 U6 spliceosomal RNA
GUGCUUGCUUUGGCAGCACGUGUACUAAAACUGGAACGACACAGAGAAGUUGGCAUUGCCUCUGCCCAAGGAUGCCCUGCAAAGUCACGAAGCGUUCCAUAUUUUU